UGGGGAAUAUUGGACAAUGGGCGAAAGCCUGAUCCAGCCAUGCCGCGUGUGUGAAGAAGGCCUUAUGGUUGUAAAGCACUUUAAGCGAGGAGGAGGGUACUGGUAUUAAUACUACCAGGUACUGGACGUUACUCGCAGAAUAAGCACCGGCUAACUCUGUGCCAGCAGCCGCGGUAAUACAGAGGGUGCGAGCGUUAAUCGGAUUUACUGGGCGUAAAGCGUGCGUAGGCGGCUAAUUGAGUCGGAUGUGAAAUCCCCGAGCUUAACUUGGGAAUUGCAUUCGAUACUGGUUAGCUAGAGUGUGGGAGAGGAUGGUAGAAUUCCAGGUGUAGCGGUGAAAUGCGAAGAGAUCUGGAGGAAUACCGAUGGCGAAGGCAGCCAUCUGGCCUAACACUGACGCUGAGGUACGAAAGCAUGGGGAGCAAACAGG
rnacentral:rRNA from 1 species